rnacentral:lncRNA from 1 species
UGGAAAUAUAAACAAUGUUGUACAUAAUGCAGAUAGCUUAGGCGAAAAAGAGAUUGGUGAAAUGGAGAAUGAGACUAACUACGGUG